AUCGAUCGCUGCACAUGCACGGGUAUGAUGCGUAGGUAGCAUCGGGUGAGAGAUUAGUCCACUUCGGUACACGGUGCAGAGGACGUCUCUUGACGACCCACGUCUGUUUUAGCGAACUCCACGAUACACCUCGAGAUCUCUUAACUACUACUUUCUUCCGGCAAUCCCAAUUUUGAUAUUCGAAAAAUGAAACACCUUCUGUCUUUGACGUUCGCCGCAAUGCUGUUGAGCACAGCCACGGCUGGGCCCAUCGGGGCAGGAAUAUGUUACGCGGGUUGCGCCGGUGUGGUGGUCGCCUGUUUCAGUGCGGCAGGAUUCACAUUCGGCACCGUCCCUGGAUCCCAAAUUGCAGCCGUCCCUGCCUUGGCGGCUUGUAACAGCGCCUUCGGAUCAUGUAUGGCAGCAUGUAGUGCUGCUCUUGCGCUCCCAAUACCCUAAUUUCAAAGUUUUGGAGUCAGAGAAAGUGACAACGACCUUGAUUUCUGGGUCAGAACUUAAAUUUUGUAAAGGAUAUACCAUUUAAUGAAGGCAUCACCAGCUCCUCUACAUUCUGGAAUUUUUCUCAUAAAAGCUAGAGCUGUAAGCAAGUCUGCUCCAAUAUUUUAUUAAAAUAAUUUAAUGUCAUUUCCGUAAAAUGAGGAACGAUUUUCUCAGAUCAAAAAUGUUUUAAUACACUUCCGGUUGGUGAUUAUUCACCAUUUUUUGUGAUAUUAUAUGUAUAUGUGCAAAUCCAAUUUUGCAAGUAAAUGUUUCCUGGUUAGUUUUUUAAAAAAAAAAAAUUGUGUCCUCAAAAGUAAUUACAAUCUUUAUCUCGAA